GACGAACGCUGGCGGCGUGCCUAAUACAUGCAAGUAGGACGCAGUUGCGAACGGGUGAGUAACGCGUAGGUAACUACCUAUCAGAGGGGGAUAACUAUUGGUAACGCUAGCUAAUACCGCAUACUAGUAGAUGGACCUGCGUUGUAUUAGCUAGUAGGGAGGGUAAUGGCCUAACUAGGCAACGAUACAUAGCCGACCUGGGAAGGUGAUCGUCCACACUGGGACUGGGACACGGGCCAGACUCCUACGGGAGGCAGCAGGAGGGAAUCUUCGGUAAUGGGGGGAACCCUGACCGAGCAACGCCGCGUGAGUGAAGAAGGUUUUCGGGUCGUAAAGCUCUUUUGUUAAGGAAGCGGUACUUAACCAAAAAGGGACGGCUAACUACGUGCCAGCAGCCGCGGUAAUAC
rnacentral:rRNA from 1 species